CAGCCGCCGCGGGAAUACGUAGGGUGCAAGCGUUAAUCGGAAUUACUGGGCGUAAAGCGUGCGCAGGCGGUUAUAUAAGACAGAUGUGAAAUCCCCGGGCUCAACCUGGGAACUGCAUUUGUGACUGUAUAGCUAGAGUACGGCAGAGGGGGAUGGAAUUCCGCGUGUAGCAGUGAAAUGCGUAGAUAUGCGGAGGAACACCGAUGGCGAAGGCAAUCCCCUGGGCCUGUACUGAUGCUCAUGCACGAAAGCGUGGGGAGCAAACAGGAUUAGAGACCCCUGUAGUCCCUGUCUCUUAUAC
rnacentral:rRNA from 1 species